rnacentral:rRNA from 1 species
UACAGAGGGGGCAAGCGUUAUUCGGAAUUAUUGGGCGUAAAGGGCGCGUAGGCUGCCUGGCAAGUGGAAGGUGAAAUCCCUCGGCUUAACCGAGGAACUGCCCUCCAAACUGCUUGGCUUGAGUCCGGGAGAGGUGAGUGGAAUUCCCAGUGUAGCGGUGAAAUGCGUAGAUAUUGGGAGGAACACCAGUGGCGAAGGCGGCUCACUGGACCGGAACUGACGCUGAGGCGCGAAAGCGUGGGGAGCAAACGGG